CCGAGUUAUACAACUCAUCAACCCAAUGUGAACAUACCUAUAACGUUUGCCUCGGCGGGAACAGACCGGGGCCCCCGUAACUACGGGGGAGCCAGCCCGACCCAGGCCCGCCGGAGGUACCCCCUAACUCUUGUCUUCAGUAUAUUUCUUCUGAGUGAAACAAGCAAAAUAAAUUA
rnacentral:misc_RNA from 1 species